rnacentral:tRNA from 1 species
GGCGGAGUAGCUCAGUUGGUUAGAGCAGCGGAAUCAUAAUCCACGUGGGGGGGGUUGAGUCCAUCCUCCGCUA